CAUCCGCCAGGUACUACAAGCGCUNNNUAAAACCCAAAGGACUUGACGGUGUCUCAGACCCACCUAGAGGAGCCUGUUCUAGAACCGAUAAUCCCCGUUAAACCUCACCACCCCUUGUUUUCCCCGCCUAUAUACCGCCGUCGCAAGCUUACCCUGUGAAGCCCUACAGUAAGCAAAAUGGGUACAUCCAAAACG
rnacentral:rRNA from 1 species